rnacentral:lncRNA from 1 species
CCGGCGGCUCCACCCCCUCCUCCCCGCCCACAGCCCGGCGGGCCCGGGACUUCUCUCCGUCAGUCCCGAAUCGCCCACCUCCCCCGGGGUGAGGGGCUGCCUACCCUCUCUCGCGCGCUCCCUCGGCUUUGCCCCCAGUGCCUACCCUCGGCCAGGACCUCGACGCCGUCUCUCUACCGUGCAAAAGCGGGACCUGAGCUGGCGGCAGUGUCCUCCCCAACCCAAGUGCCUCAGAUGAUCCUAACUAGUUAUGCAGUAACCUGUGGUGGUCCCAUUUCUUGUGCUCAUGAUUGGUUUAAGGAUCGGGAUGUGACCAGUAUUGGACAAUGAGAGAUGAGAGGAAGUCGGCUGGAAGGCUUCUAGAAAAAGCAUUCCUCACUAUCAAAAAGAGAUGCGCAAAGCGGCAGCUUCUCUUCUGCUGCUGGAUGUUACCGAAUCUGCAUAUGAUAGUAGGAUGACGGCAGCCACCUUGUAGCAAAGAGCAGAGUUUCCUCCAAGAGAACAUUCUACGGGGAGAAGAGGAAACAGCACCAAUGACAUCACUUUGCCUGAGUUCACAAACCCUACAGGUGCUCCCACCCCCUACAUUUUUCCUUGUGUGAGAUAAUAAAUUCCUUAUUAUUUAAGCCAUU